GAGGGCGGCGCGGUGCCGGGUUUGUCCACUCCUCCUGGCCGUGUCAUGCGUUCGUGGGGUCCGGGGCCUCCCUGGGUCGGUGCCGCUUACGUACGGGAUAGUGACGGAGGGCCAGGAUCGGCAGCAGCGGGAUGGCACUGAGUUCUCUGAGAUGCACUAUGGAAAUGAUGAGAAUGACUUCUGAGGCUGUGAGCGGUGGCUGAUGAGAGAAGCUAAAGACAGGAACCUCAAAAUUGAACUGACUGAUAUGCAAUGAAGGGACAUUUCAUGGCAAAUGGAUGAAAGUAUGUCUGUUUUCCUUCUUAAAAGUGAAAUGUGCUUCUGAAGUUCCCUUGUUAUCACAUGUGCUUUGCUUGUCUGAUUUUUCUGUAGAGAAGAGACCUUCAUCCUGUGACUACUUUGCUUCCUGACCUCUCGUGGUAGCUGCAGGCAUGAAGCACUAACAGGAACACGGUCCUUAGACUUUUUUCUUUAAUCUUUUAUUUUAUUUACUAAGCUUUUAUUUUGAACUUCAUAAGUCAGUGUAUACUAAGGAGGGCAUUUUAAAGGAAGCUGCAAUUGAACCGUAUGAACUCAUCUUCUUACUGGUUGGAAAACAGCUUAUUUUGUAAGUCAGAGAUCCAGAAUUCUUUCAGAUUCUCAAGUGUUCCAGUGGAUAUGAUGCCCUUUAAUUAUUGAUGUACAGCUGCAGGCUUUCAUUACAUGGUCUGAUUUACUUUUUCCAUAAAGUAAGAGCUCAGUAUUUUAACUGUGCAAAAGUCAAUACCUAGUUUAGAACAUGAAUUGGAAAGAGACAGUAUUUCACAUCGGGUAACACUGUGCUGUCACUGUUUCCUUCCCUGCAACCCCUGUUUGGAAGCUCACUUCUCUUCAAGUUAUGUUAUGCUGAAGUGGAAUCUUAAUAUAAGUUCUACUAUAUGCA